rnacentral:rRNA from 1 species
UACAGAGGGUGCAAGCGUUGUUCGGAAUUAUUGGGCGUAAAGCGCGUGUAGGCGGCUUUGCAAGUCGGGUGUGAAAUCCCUCAGCUUAACUGAGGAAGUGCGCCCGAAACUGCCGAGCUUGAGUACCGGAGAGGGUGGCGGAAUUCCCCAAGUAGAGGUGAAAUUCGUAGAUAUGGGGAGGAACACCGGUGGCGAAGGCGGCCACCUGGACGGAUACUGACGCUGAGACGCGAAGGCCAGGGGAGCAAACGGG